rnacentral:rRNA from 1 species
CAGCAAUUUGGCGGAAUGUAAGUAACUUAUUUAUAUAAGUGAAGUGUGUCAAACACUUAAAAUUCUAGAUAAAACAAUGAUAAUGACAAUUUUUUAUCUACGUGUCUUGGCUAAAUCUUGUGCCAGCAGCCGCGGUAAUACAAGGAAGACUAGUGUUAUUCAUCUUUACUAGGUUUAAAGGGUACCUAGACUGUAUAUAUAGCUUUUUAAGUACGUAUAUACUAGAGUUGUAUAUGAGAGGAAUAUAUAAGAACUGUUAAAGGAGAGAUAAAAUAUUUUGAUAGUGACAGAACUGUCAACGGCGAAGGCAUACCUCUAUCUAAAAACAAAUACAACUGACGUUGAGGGACGAAGGCUUGGUUAGCGAAUAGGAUUAGAUACCCUAGUAGUCCAGGCAGAAAAUUAUGAGUGUUAUAUAUUAGGACAUAAUAGUUAGUUAAUAUAGCACUAGAAAAUAUUAAGAUUGUAAAUUAUUUUUUUACAGUUACUAUAGUUGUUAAUGUAUAAAUUAAAGUGCAAGCACUCCACCUCAAGAGUAAUGUGGCAACACAGAAACUGAAAUCAUUAGACCGUUUCUGAAACCAGCAGUGAAGUAUGUUAUUUAAUUCGAUAAUCCUCGAAAAAUCUUACCACAAUUUGUAUAAUACAUCAAUUAUUACAGGAGUUGCACGGCUGUCUAUAGCUAAUAUCGUGAGAGGUGGUUAGUUCCAGUAAUUAGCGAAAACCCUGGAUCCUGUUAGAGGAUUGAUAAAUCUACCACAUUGGGUUUUAUAAAGGGGAUUAAGACAAGUCAUCA